rnacentral:misc_RNA from 1 species
UCUCCGUUGGUGAACCAGCGGAGGGAUCAUUACAGAGUUAUCUAACUCCCAAACCAUUGUGAACUUACCAUAUGUUGCCUCGGCAGAACCUACCCUGUAGCGGGCUGCCGGCGGACCUCUAAACUCUUGUUAUACUAUUGUAAUCUGAGCGUCUUAUUUUAAUAAGUCAAAACUUUCAACAACGGAUCUCUUGGUUCUGGCAUCGAUGAAGAACGCAGC